rnacentral:rRNA from 1 species
CACGGAGUUAGCCGAUCCUUAUUCCUUCGGUACAUUCAGCUCAUUACACGUAAUGAGGUUUAUUCCCGAAUAAAAAGCAGUUUACGACCCAGAGGGCUGUCUUCCUGCACGCGGCAUGGCUGGUUCAGAGUUGCCUCCAUUGACCAAUAUUCCUUACUGCUGCCUCCCGUAGGAGUCUGGUCCGUGUCUCAGUACCAGUGUGGGGGUCAUCCUCUCAGAUCCCCUAGUCAUCGUCGCCUUGGUGGGCCGUUACCCCGCCAACUAGCUAAUGACACGCAUGCCCAUCUUAAUCCUAUAAAUAUUUGAACAUUGGAUAAUGCUAUCCUGUGUUUUUAUGUCGGUGUUAAUCCGUAAAUUUCUUCGGGCUAUCCCCCUGACUUAAGGUAGGUUGCAUACGCGUUACGCACCCGUCGCGCCUACUUUCGUCAAGAGCAAGCUCUCAACUAUCGUUCGACUUGCAUGUAUUAGGCCUGCCGCGUA